rnacentral:rRNA from 1 species
GAUGAACGCUGGCGGCGUGCCUAAUACAUGCAAGUCGAGCGAACGGACGAGAAGCUUGCUUCUCUGAUGUUAGCGGCGGACGGGUGAGUAACACGUGGAUAACCUACCUAUAAGACUGGGAUAACUUCGGGAAACAGUAGCUAAUACCGGAUAAUAUUUUGAACCGCAUGGGUCAAAAGUGAAAGACGGUCUUGCGGUCACUUAUAGAUGGAUCCGCGCUGCAUUAGCUAGUUGGUAAGGUAACGGCUUACCAAGGCAACGAUGCAUAGCCGCCCUGAGCGGGUGAUCGCCCACACUGGCACUGAGCCACGGUCCAGACUCCUACGGGAGGCAGCAGUAGGGACUCUUCCGCAAUGGGCGAAAGCCUGACGGAGCAACGCCGCGUGAGUGAUGAACGUCUUCGGAUCGUAAAACUCUGUUAUUAGGGAAGAACAUAUGUGUAAGUAACUGUGCACAUCUUGACGGUACCUAAUCAGAAAGCCACGGCUAACUAUGUG